UACAGGGGUGGCAAGCGUUGUCCGGAAUUACUGGGUGUAAAGGGUGCGUAGGCGGGUCGGUAAGUCAGUGGUCAAAUCCUAUAGCUUAACUAUAGACUAUCCAUUGAUACUGCUGAUCUUGAGUGCGAGAGAGAUGAGUGGAAUUCCAAGUGUAGCGGUGAAAUGCGUAGAGAUUUGGAAGAACACAAGUAGCGAAGGCGGCUCAUUAGCUCGUAACUGACGCUGAGGCACGAAAGCAUGGGUAGCAAACAGG
rnacentral:rRNA from 1 species